UACGUAGGGGGCAAGCGUUGUCCGGAUUUAUUGGGCGUAAAGAGCGUGUAGGCGGCCAAGCAGGUCAGCUGUGAAAACUCGAGGCUCAACCUCGAGACGUCGGUUGAAACCGCUUGGCUAGAGUCCGGAAGAGGAGAGUGGAAUUCCCGGUGUAGCGGUGAAAUGCGCAGAUAUCGGGAAGAACACCCGUGGCGAAGGCGGCUCUCUGGACGGCUAACUGACGCUGAGGCGCGAAGGCCAGGGGAGCAAACGGG
rnacentral:rRNA from 1 species